rnacentral:lncRNA from 1 species
AGCAGGCCCACAGAAAUGGACACGUGCUUAUUUUUACUUCUCUAGAGAAUAGUGCUGAUUUCCAAGAAUGAACAAAUGCUGGGAUUGCAGGUUCACGAGGCUGUUUCAAUCAUAGUGAAGCCAUGCCUCCCUUAAGGGAGGGAGGUGUGCGGACCAGCUGGACUUUGGACCACUCAGCACUAGAACGAAAUCCCAACUCUCUUGCUUAUGAGAACUGUCAUCCUGGAUAAUUUGAACGAAAGCAAGUGAGAAUACAGAGUGCAUAAAUCAGGACCUCUAAAGAUGGAUCUGAUGAGUCCUUGGAGCUGUGACCUCUUGAUUAGACAAGGAAUAGAAUCCCUGAAGCAGGAAGGAGACACCCCGAAGAGAAUGAAGGUCCCAGAACACUGCAGCAGAGGAAAAGAACAAUUUGUAUGAUAAGAAAAUGUAGACUUGGGAUCCAACAGUGUGCCUUUGUCUUCCUUUAGAGGAGAGAUGUGCAUCGUGGUUCUCUGGAAGUCUACAGAAAAGCAGCAGACUCAGUUUUGGCUUAAAUGACUUGCUUAUUUCUCUGCACCGA